UGAGUGAAGAAGGCCCUCGGGUUGUAAAGCUCUUUUGUUGGGAAAGAAAAGCAACCGGUUAAUACCCGGUUGUUCUGACGGUACCCAAAGAAUAAGCACCGGCUAACUUCGUGCCAGCAGCCGCGGUAAUACGAAGGGUGCAAGCGUUACUCGGAAUUACUGGGCGUAAAGCGUGCGUAGGUGGUUCGUUAAGUCUGAUGUGAAAGCCCUGGGCUCAACCUGGGAAUUGCAUUGGAUACUGGCGGGCUAGAGUACGGUAGAGGGUGGCGGAAUUCCUGGUGUAGCAGUGAAAUGCGUAGAUAUCAGGAGGAACAUCCGUGGCGAAGGCGGCCACCUGGACCAGUACUGACACUGAGGCACGAAAGCGUGGGGAGCAAACAGGAUUAGAUACCCUGGUAGUCCACGCCUCUAA
rnacentral:rRNA from 1 species